UACGGGGGGGGCAAGCGUUGUUCGGAAUUACUGGGCGUAAAGGGCGCGUAGGCGGCCUUCUAAGUCAGACGUGAAAUCCCACGGCUUAACCGUGGAACUGCGUCUGAUACUGGAGGGCUUGAAUCCGGGAGAGGGAUGUGGAAUUCCAGGUGUAGCGGUGAAAUGCGUAGAUAUCGGGAGGAACACCUGUGGCGAAAGCGGCUCACUGGACCACAACUGACGCUGAGGCGCGAAAGCUAGGGGAGCAAACAGG
rnacentral:rRNA from 1 species